rnacentral:ncRNA from 2 species
AUGACCAGUAUUAGAGAGAAUGGUUAAUCAUUUAUAUAACCAUCGCCGAAGGUGCAAGUUUAACGAAACUCUCAGGCAAAAGGAUAAUACUGAGACG